GAUGAACGCUGGCGGCGUGCCUAAUACAUGCAAGUCGAGCGAACAGACGAGGAGCUUGCUCCUCUGACGUUAGCGGCGGACGGGUGAGUAACACGUGGAUAACCUACCUAUAAGACUGGGAUAACUUCGGGAAACCGGAGCUAGUACCGGAUAAUAUAUUGAACCGCAUGGUUCAAUAGUGAAAGACGGUUUUGCUGUCACUUAUAGAUGGAUCCGCGCCGCAUUAGCUAGUUGGUAAGGUAACGGCAUACCAAGGCAACGAUGCGUAGCCGACCUGAGAGGGUGAUCGGCCACACUGGAACUGAGACACGGUCCAGACUCCUACGGGAGGCAGCAGUAGGGAAUCUUCCGCAAUGGGCGAAAGCCUGACGGAGCAACGCCGCGUGAGUGAUGAAGGUCUUCGGAUCGUAAAACUCUGUUAUUAGGGAAGAACAAAUGUGUAAGUAACUAUGCACGUCUUGACGGUACCUAAUCAGAAAGCCACGGCUAACUACGUG
rnacentral:rRNA from 1 species